rnacentral:rRNA from 1 species
GACGAACGCUGGCGGCGUGCCUAAUACAUGCAAGUCGAACGCAGUGGGGACGGGUGAGUAACACGUGGGUAACCUCCCAUCAGAGGGGAUAACACUUGGAAACAGGUGCUAAACCGAUACUGAUUGAUGGACCCGCGGUGCAUUAGCUAGUUGGUGAGGUAACGGCUCACCAAGGCCACGAUGCAUAGCCGAGCUGAGAGGGUGAUCGGCCACACUGGGACUGAGACACGGCCCAGACUCCUACGGGAGGCAGCAGUAGGGAAUCUUCGGCAAUGGACGAAAGUCUGACCGAGCAACGCCGCGUGAGUGAAGAAGGUUUUCGGAUCGUAAAACUCUGUUAUUAGGGAAGCGGUAACUAAUCAGAAAGCCACGGCUAACUACGUGCCAGCAGCCGCGGUAAUUG